AUAUUGGCAUUCAAUUCUGUGGCUAUAAAACAGAGUACGGAUCGGAGGAUAAGGGGAAAUGGAGAGAUUGGGAGUGCCACAAGAAAUAUAGUGUCAUAUGUUAUGAUGAUAAUCUGGUUCUGGUGAAGGAGAAUAAGACAUGGGAGGAGGCAUUAGAACACUGCAGAGCUCUUGACAGUGUAAACAGAUUUGACCUGGCCACCCUGCUCACUGAACAUGACCUCAGCUAUGCGCAAGAGCUAGCCCAAAAUGCUACUACUGAUGAGAUUUGGACAGGACUAUGUUACCUAGGUGAUGAGUGGUUCUGGGUGGGUGGAGAAUCUAUGCUGGGCGCCCAGAACCCUGGUAGAUGCCCAGUUAACAGGUGUGGCGUUCUGGACAAGAACGGGACAUCCUUUAGGACCAGAGACUGCAGCCAGAAAAGAAACUUUUUCUGUUACAUGAAAUCUUAAACUGUUUACUGUUGAUGGUAUUUUAUCUUCAAAACAAAAA